rnacentral:rRNA from 1 species
GAUGAACGCUAGCGAUAGGCCUAACACAUGCAAGUCGAGGGGCAUCACAUGAAGUAGCAAUACGGAUGGUGGCGACCGGCGCACGGGUGAGUAACACGUAUGCAACCUGCCUUCAACAAGGGGAUAACCCGUUGAAAGACGGACUAAUACCCUAUAACACAGGGGUCCCGCAUGGGAAUAUUUGUUAAAGGACAACCGGUUGAAGAUGGGCAUGCGUUCCAUUAGCUAGUUGGCGGGGUAACGGCCCACCAAGGCAACGAUGGAUAGGGGAACUGAGAGGUUUAUCCCCCACACUGGUACUGAGACACGGACCAGACUCCUACGGGAGGGCAGCAGUGAGGAAUAUUGGUCAAUGGACGCAAGUCUGAACCAGCCACGUCGCGUGAAGGAAGACGGCCCUACGGGUUGUAAACUCUUUUAUACGGGAAUAAAGUGCCCCACGCGUGGGGUUUUGCAUGUACCGUAUGAAUAAGGAUCGGCUAACUCCGUGCCAGCAGCCGCGGUAAGUACG